UUUAUUUUGGGUAUAUAUCAGUGCAUUACAUUAAAAGUGUUUAAUUGGAGUACCAUUAUAUAGGAGGUAUUAGGUGGCAAAGUAGGAAUUUCAAAGUAGGUGGCUGUGAACACACUGAAACUAUAUAAGGCCUGAAAUGAAGAGACGUGAGAGGGUUUUCCGAGGAAGAUUUCUUUGGGGAGCAUUGGGCCUGCCUUUCCACUCAAUUUUAAUGAAAGAGAUUUCAGUAGGACCACUUGGGGAGCUGAAGUUUGAAGACAGAGUGGAAUUGACUUUGAAUCCUGCCUGGACAAUGUAAAUGUCACACUUGGAUUAGCUAACUGCUUCAGCCUUCGAUUCAAGAAGAGCUUCCUACAAUGUUGAUAUCUGCUUAAAUUCCCAGAAUUCGUCAGUGCAAAAAUAGAUGAAUAUAGCCUGUGAGCCAUACUUGUGUUCCCAAGCAUGAAAAGAAGCUCUGUAACAGAACACCUGGAAGGACACUGGACAUCAUAAGGGAGAAAGUUGUGCGGAACAGAUCCCUAAAAAGAAACUACAUGUCUCUUUUAUUCUACAUGCUGUUCAAAAUUUCCAACGGAAGAAAGGCAUAGCUGAGGAUAAAACUGAGGUGUUUAGUGAUUUCUCCAAGUCCAGAAGGAAAGCAUGUGUCUAAAAUGAGAUUAUAAUCCAGGUCCUCCUGGCUACAAAAUAACUUUUCACUCCUUCAGAUAAAGUCUUGCAAACUAUGUCCCACUUUCCUUAAUAAAUUCAUUCAACAAAUAUUUAUCAAAUACUUCUUUUGUGCCCUGAAUUCUUCUAGAUCCUGGGGAUAAGCAAAAGAGACAAUGCCUUUGCUAUUAUGGGACUAUGUUAGGAAAAGGACAACAAACAAAUACAGAAAUAUAUAAUGUGAGUCCAGGUAUUGACAAGUACCAUGAUGCUAAACAAAUGAGGAUAAUGAGAUGAGAGGAAUGAGUUGGAAGUAAUGGUUGGGAGGUUGGAUAACGUCUUUCUGAGGAAGAGAUGCUUUAGUGGUAGCCUGAAUGUAACAAAGAGAAACCCAUAUGAAGGCUGAGUGUCCCAGGCAGAUAGAGUAAGUGUAAAGUC